UCCUACGGGGGGCAGCAGUGAGGAAUAUUGGUCAAUGGCCGGAAGGCUGAACCAGCCAAGCCGCGUGAAGGACGAAGGUGCCAAGCAUUGUAAACUUCUUUUGUCAAGGGACAAAAUCAGGCUCGAGAGCCUGACCGAGGGUACUUGAAGAAAAAGCAUCGGCUAACUCCGUGCCAGCAGCCGCGGUAAUACGGAGGAUGCGAGCGUUAUCCGGAUUUAUUGGGUUUAAAGGGUGCGUAGGCGGACUGUUAAGUCAGCGGUAAAAGCCCGGGGCUCAACCCAGGCGAGCCGUUGAAACUGGCUGU
rnacentral:rRNA from 1 species